UAACAUGAGAGUUUGAUCCUGGCUCAGGAUGAACGCUGGCGGCGUGCUUAACACAUGCAAGUCGAACGAAGCACUUUA
rnacentral:rRNA from 1 species